rnacentral:rRNA from 1 species
CCUACGGGCGGCUGCAGUGGGGAAUUUUGGACAAUGGGCGCAAGCCUGAUCCAGCCAUGCCGCGUGCGGGAAGAAGGCCUUCGGGUUGUAAACCGCUUUUGUCAGGGAAGAAACGGUUCGGGCUAAUACCUCGAACUAAUGACGGUACCUGAAGAAUAAGCACCGGCUAACUACGUGCCAGCAGCCGCGGUAAUACGUAGGGUGCAAGCGUUAAUCGGAAUUACUGGGCGUAAAGCGUGCGCAGGCGGUUAUGCAAGACAGAUGUGAAAUCCCCGGGCUCAACCUGGGAACUGCAUUUGUGACUGCAUGACUUGAGUACGGUAGAGGGGGAUGGAAUUCCGCGUGUAGCAGUGAAAUGCGUAGAUAUGCGGAGGAACACCGAUGGCGAAGGCAAUCCCCUGGACCUGUACUGACGCUCAUGCACGAAAGCGUGGGGAGCAAACAGGAUUAGAUACCCGGGUAGUC